AUUGAACGCUUGCGGCAGGCUUAACACAUGCAAGUCGAGCGAGCGGCGGACGGGUGAGUAAGGUCUGGGAAACUGCCUGAUGGAGGGGGAUAACUACUGGAAACGGUAGCUAAUACCGCAUACCAUCCGAUGGGACGAGAUGGGAUUAGCUAGUAGGUGGGGUAAUGGCUCAACUAGGCGACGAUCCCUAGCUGUUCUGAGAGGAUGACCAGCAACACUGGAACUGAGACACGGUCCAGACGCCUACGGGAGGCAGCAGUGGGGAAUAUUGCACAAUGGGCGCAAGCCUGAUGCAGCCAUGCCGCGUGUGUGAAGAAGGCCUUCGGGUUGUAAAGCACUUUCAGCGAGGAGGCGUUACUCGCAGAAGAAGCACCGGCUAACUCCGUGCCAGCAGCCGCGGUAAUUC
rnacentral:rRNA from 1 species